AUGGGGUCUUCAAGUCUUGGGGGGUGUUCAUAUUGUGGGGUCUUCACGUCAUGGGGUCCUCACAUUGUGGGGGUCAUGAGGUCUUCAUGUCAUGGGGUCUUCAUGUCUUCGGGGGUAUUUUUGUCAUGGGGUCCUCACGUUGUGGGGGCUCUUUAUGUCAUGGGGUCUUCACUUUGUCAUGGGAUCUUCACAUCGUGGGGUCCUCACGUCGUGGGAGUCUUGGGGUCUUCAUGUCUUGGGGUCUUCAUGCCUUGGGGGCUCUUUAUGUCACGGGGUCUUCACUUUGCGGAGUCUUCACAUUGUGGGGUCUUCAUGUCGUGGGGGUCUUGGGGUCUUCAUGUCUUGGGGGUUCUUUAUGUCGUGGGGUCUUCACGUUGUGGGGUUUUCAUUUCAUGGGGUCUUCAUUUGUGGGGGUCUUCACUUGUGGGGAUCUUCAUAUCGUGGGGUCCUCACGUCAUGGGGUCUUCACAUCAUGGGGGUCUUGGGGUCUUGAUGUCACAGGGUCUUCAUAUCUUGGGGGCUCUUUAUGUCGUCGGGUUUUCACUUCAUGGGGUCUUCACGUCUUGGGGACCUUCACAUCGUGGGGUCUUCACCCCCUGGGUCCCCCCUUUGCCCACGAGGCCCAGUUUUUGGGGUCGAGGCCGGGCCGGGCCGCCAGAUGGCGGCAGAGCUCCGUCCUCGGCCUGGCCCCGCAUGGCCGCGCGAUGGCGCCGUGGUUGUGGGGCAGGCCCCGGGAGCCGGGGGGGGGGGGCACUGGGGACGUUUGGGACCCCCCCAAAAACGAGUUUGGGCCUCUUUGCUGGGGGAGGCCGACGGGCUCCCGAUGUUGAGUGCGAAUUAUGUGAAAAUGUAAUUAAAAAGGCGAAUGCCCGGGCCCUGUGUUGGCUGCCGUCACACGCCAACCCGCGGCCGUCCUUUGGCCCAAAUGGCCUCAAAGCGUGGUGGCAGCCCCCUGGAGGCUUUGGGGAGCACGAGGGACGGUACAAGGCCCCCAAAGACCCCCAAAAUGUCCAGCACAACUGUUUAGGUUGUGAACCACCACUUCAUCAAAAUCGCGUUCCUACAAGGCCUGGCUCCGUGCUGCGAGAGCUGGUUCCCCGCUGCAGCAAGCGCACGCUUAGGGUGUAA
rnacentral:lncRNA from 1 species